UUAAGCGACUAAGCGUACACGGUGGAUGCCCUGGCAGUCAGAGGCGAUGAAGGGCGUGCUAAUCUGCGAUAAGCGCCGGUAAGGUGAUAUGAACCGUUAUAACCGGCGAUACCCGAAUGGGGAAACCCAGUGUGACUCGUCACACUAUCAUUAACUGAAUCCAUAGGUUAAUGAGGCGAACCGGGGGAACUGAAACAUCUAAGUACCCCGAGGAAAAGAAAUCAACCGAGAUUCCCCCAGUAGCGGCGAGCGAACGGGGAGGAGCCCAGAGCCUGAAUCAGCAUGUGUGUUAGUGGAAGCGUCUGGAAAGGCGCGCGAUACAGGGUGACAGCCCCGUACACAAAAGCGCAUGUGCUGUGAGCUCGAUGAGUAGGGCGGGACACGUGGUAUCCUGUCUGAAUAUGGGGGGACCAUCCUCCAAGGCUAAAUACUCCUGACUGACCGAUAGUGAACCAGUACCGUGAGGGAAAGGCGAAAAGAACCCCGGCGAGGGGAGUGAAAAAGAACCUGAAACCGUGUACGUACAAGCAGUGGGAGCACCCUUUGGGGUGUGACUGCGUACCUUUUGUAUAAUGGGUCAGCGACUUAUAUUCUGUAGCAAGGUUAACCGAAUAGGGGAGCCGGAGGGAAACCGAGUCUUAACCGGGCGUUAAGUUGCAGGGUAUAGACCCGAAACCCGGUGAUCUAGCCAUGGGCAGGUUGAAGGUUGGGUAACACUAACUGGAGGACCGAACCGACUAAUGUUGAAAAAUUAGCGGAUGACCUGUGGCUGGGGGUGAAAGGCCAAUCAAACCGGGAGAUAGCUGGUUCUCCCCGAAAGCUAUUUAGGUAGCGCCUCGUGAAUUCAUCUCCGGGGGUAGAGCACUGUUUCGGCUAGGGGGCCAUCCCGGCUUACCAACCCGAUGCAAACUGCGAAUACCGGAGAAUGUUAUCACGGGAGACACACGGCGGGUGCUAACGUCCGUCGUGAAGAGGGAAACAACCCAGACCGCCAGCUAAGGUCCCAAAGUCAUGGUUAAGUGGGAAACGAUGUGGGAAGGCCCAGACAGCCAGGAUGUUGGCUUAGAAGCAGCCAUCAUUUAAAGAAAGCGUAAUAGCUCACUGGUCGAGUCGGCCUGCGCGGAAGAUGUAACGGGGCUAAACCAUGCACCGAAGCUGCGGCAGCGACGCUGAUGCGUUGUUGGGUAGGGGAGCGUUCUGUAAGCCUGCGAAGGUGUGUCGUGAGGCAUGCUGGAGGUAUCAGAAGUGCGAAUGCUGACAUAAGUAACGAUAAAGCGGGUGAAAAGCCCGCUCGCCGGAAGACCAAGGGUUCCUGUCCAACGUUAAUCGGGGCAGGGUGAGUCGACCCCUAAGGCGAGGCCGAAAGGCGUAGUCGAUGGGAAACGGGUUAAUAUUCCCGUACUUGGUGUUACUGCGAAGGGGGGACGGAGAAGGCUAUGUUGGCCGGGCGACGGUUGUCCCGGUUUAAGCGUGUAGGUGUGUGUUCCAGGUAAAUCCGGUUCACUUUAACACUGAGGCGUGAUGACGAGGCACUACGGUGCUGAAGCAACAAAUGCCCUGCUUCCAGGAAAAGCCUCUAAGCAUCAGGUAACAUCAAAUCGUACCCCAAACCGACACAGGUGGUCAGGUAGAGAAUACCAAGGCGCUUGAGAGAACUCGGGUGAAGGAACUAGGCAAAAUGGUGCCGUAACUUCGGGAGAAGGCACGCUGACACGUAGGUGAAGUGAUUUACUCAUGGAGCUGAAGUCAGUCGAAGAUACCAGCUGGCUGCAACUGUUUAUUAAAAACACAGCACUGUGCAAACACGAAAGUGGACGUAUACGGUGUGACGCCUGCCCGGUGCCGGAAGGUUAAUUGAUGGGGUCAGCGCAAGCGAAGCUCCUGAUCGAAGCCCCGGUAAACGGCGGCCGUAACUAUAACGGUCCUAAGGUAGCGAAAUUCCUUGUCGGGUAAGUUCCGACCUGCACGAAUGGCGUAAUGAUGGCCAGGCUGUCUCCACCCGAGACUCAGUGAAAUUGAACUCGCUGUGAAGAUGCAGUGUACCCGCGGCAAGACGGAAAGACCCCGUGAACCUUUACUAUAGCUUGACACUGAACAUUGAGCCUUGAUGUGUAGGAUAGGUGGGAGGCUUUGAAGUGUGGACGCCAGUCUGCAUGGAGCCGGCCUUGAAAUACCACCCUUUAAUGUUUGAUGUUCUAACGUGGACCCGUGAUCCGGGUUGCGGACAGUGUCUGGUGGUAGUUUGACUGGGGCGGUCUCCUCCUAAAGAGUAACGGAGGAGCACGAAGGUUGGCUAAUCCUGGUCGGACAUCAGGAGGUUAGUGCAAUGGCAUAAGCCAGCUUGACUGCGAGCGUGACGGCGCGAGCAGGUGCGAAAGCAGGUCAUAGUGAUCCGGUGGUUCUGAAUGGAAGGGCCAUCGCUCAACGGAUAAAAGGUACUCCGGGGAUAACAGGCUGAUACCGCCCAAGAGUUCAUAUCGACGGCGGUGUUUGGCACCUCGAUGUCGGCUCAUCACAUCCUGGGGCUGAAGUAGGUCCCAAGGGUAUGGCUGUUCGCCAUUUAAAGUGGUACGCGAGCUGGGUUUAGAACGUCGUGAGACAGUUCGGUCCCUAUCUGCCGUGGGCGCUGGAGAACUGAGGGGGGCUGCUCCUAGUACGAGAGGACCGGAGUGGACGCAUCACUGGUGUUCGGGUUGUCAUGCCAAUGGCACUGCCCGGUAGCUAAAUGCGGAAGAGAUAAGUGCUGAAAGCAUCUAAGCACGAAACUUGCCCCGAGAUGAGUUCUCCCUGAGACUUAGAGUCUCCUGAAGGAACGUUGAAGACGACGACGUUGAUAGGCCGGGUGUGUAAGCGCAGCGAUGCGUUGAGCUAACCGGUACUAAUGAACCGUGAGGCUUAACCUU
rnacentral:rRNA from 1 species